GAUGAACGCUGGCGGCGUGCCUAAUACAUGCAAGUCGAACGAAGCUUCUUUAUCACCGAGUGCUUGCACUCACCGAUAAAGAGUUGAGUGGCGAACGGGUGAGUAACACGUGGGCAACCUGCCCAAAAGAGGGGGAUAACACUUGGAAACAGGUGCUAAUACCGCAUAACCAUAGUUACCGCAUGGUAACUAUGUAAAAGGUGGCUAUACUACCGCUUUUGGAUGGGCCCGCGGCGCAUUAGCUAGUUGGUAGGGUAAAGGCUUACCAGGCAAUGAUGCGUAGCCGAAUUGAGAGGUUGAUCGGCCACAUUGGGACUGAGACACGGCCCAAACUCCUACGGGAGGCAGCAGUAGGGAAUCUUCCACAAUGGGCGAAAGCCUGAUGGAGCAACGCCGCGUGGGUGAAGAAGGUCUUCGGAUCGUAAAACCCUGUUGUUAGAGAAGAAAGUGCGUGAGAGUAACUGUUCACGUUUCGACGGUAUCUAACCAGAAAGCCACGGCUAACUACGUG
rnacentral:rRNA from 1 species